GACACGAUGGCCGAGUGGUCUAAGGCGCUGGUUUUAGGCACCAGUCUUCAUUGGUAAUAAUACCGUGGGUUCAAAUCCCACUCGUGUCA
rnacentral:tRNA from 1 species